rnacentral:lncRNA from 1 species
CAGAACUCGAUUCUGCUGCUAGCGCAAUUCUUUCGCUUGAUGGAGUUUCCUCGCGGUGCCCGGGAGGGAUUCGCGCUAGAAGCUGCUAGUUCGUGAUAGUGGUGGUGCUUGCCGCAGCGUUCAUGCGCAUGCGGUGGAAAUCGAGAGAGGUCGCGAACAGCCCUAGAAAUGCUCUUCUUUGCCGUCGAUAAGCUCAGGUGCUCGUAGCUAAGCAGUGGGCGUAAAAGCUGUUUGCGGGAUGUCUUUGCAUCUGUUGAUUGUGCAAUAUGAGCACAGCGCGAGAAGCUUUUAUCCGGUGGCGGGGACAGGGUCUCGGGCGCCCAUGCAGGCGACACGCGCCUAAUCCCGAGCCUCCCUCCUCGCCUUUACCUUGUCCCUGGACCCGCGCCAUCCGUGCCCCGCUGUUCACUUCCCUCGUUUCAUACCAGUUCCCCUCCCCUGCGUAGGCCGGUAACCCCUGAUCCCGCCGCUGCCAGGGAUGCAGCUGUGCAGGAUGAGGUUGACGGCUGUGGAUUGCAUUGGUUACAAGAGGGACCUGCUGACGCAGUUCACGAGCCAGUGACGUGUGGAAGUUGGUGUAGGUUGGCGGUGAUCCAGCGGGGUGGGUGCCGAUGUGCUAUAGUGGGCGCGAGGCUGUACACGUCAGGACCUGGCGAGUGUACUGCUAAAGCUGACUUUGUGAUGGCCCCCAAGCGUAGGUGAGGUAGGCGCACGGUGGUGACAAGGCAUGCGGCCAGUGGAACUGCCUUACAGUUACAGCCCGCCCAAGCGCGGUUGUUGCCCUGCCAUGAUUUCCGUGGAGUCUCUAGCUCCGGCAGGGACGGUCCCCAUCAGUUCCCGUAGUGGACCAUGCAUCCAGCCGCCCACACGUGCUCUCCGUUCGUCACAUACAGUACUCGAACUCCAAUGUCCACAGAGCGUGUGCGCGAAGUCCACACGCCACACACGCAAGUGGCAGCCGCCCGUCCUUGCACAGCAAGCAUCUCCGCGCACGGUCGCACGCUUCACUAGCCCCAACGAACCGCCUACCACAAAUCAAGUCACACCCACCUCAGCAUUAGGAGUGCACAUCCGCCUGUCGAAUGUCGGAUGAUGAUAGGGCAACAAGUAGGUCUAGAGAAAUGAAAGCUAGUAGGUCUACUGCACCCAUGCAUGGAUGGAAAGAAUCAAUGGACCUUUGGAUAUAGGAUCCGGCCUUCUCAAGGGUCCUCGCGCAUUUACUAAAGAGCCAAGGGGUCUAGUAUGUAAGAAGCAAUGCCAGUCUCAAGUCAAGCACACUGCUGCCGCUUCCUGGCAUCUGGAAUGCCGGAAGGGUCGGAGGAACUUGCACCCACAGAACGUACACGUCGUGUCACUGACAGCCCACUCGAGUCUUGUAAACAGUAGAAAUCGUGCCCGCUCCUGCAGCGAGCCAAGAUACGGUAACCUCGAUACUUCUUUGUGUCUCACCGCGGUACGCGCACAGACAUUAAUCUGCGGGCUCCCUCUCCGCACUCCUUCUGUCACUCCCGUGCGUCAGGUCUUCUCCGACGUCGCCUCCACUCCAUCUCCUACGUCCCAUGACUCACCUGUAGCCCCAGGCAGCCCUGCGUCCAUUGGCACAGCGCCCCUCGCCACCUGCCACCCUCUCGCUCAGCAAAUAAACGCACGCGCGAUAGCAAAACACCAGCAGUCCGUAGUAUGGCCAAGGGGGGCUGCCGGUUCCCCGGUCCCAUACAGUCACACAUACAUCUUAUUAAGAAAAAUCAGCAAGGUUUAUUUGGCGAGUCUCAGUAGAGAAAUAGACAUCCAUACAUCACCCAAUGCGCAUGGCAAUAUCGCACAGAGUGCUUGCUUGCGCAAGCAAUCCAGCAUCAAGUACGGCCUUUGACACUCCCGCUCGCUCACAUACGGUGUAAUAUCAGUACAGCACGGCAACACUCGCGCGAAUCAGUCCUGUGUCCUGCGGUAAACGCCGACUACCGUAGCACGCCCUGCUGUCGUGCUGACAAUGAGAAAUGUGCGGCGGCACAGCCCUGCUGGUUCACUUGAUAGUGAAUGGGCCCGAUCAGUAGCUAGUAGCGGCGAUUUGCCUAGCUGUCUAUACUUGCACGCAUACGCUGCGGGUGUGCCUCACAUACCAUAAUACCCAGUGCUGCUUCUUUCGCAUUUAACACACGCUCAGCAUGCCCUGCUGGCUCACUUCGAUACUGUGCCAUCCACACACGUACGUGUGACGAGCCCCUCUUGCGAACGGCCGUCGGCACCACAGCUGCGGCGGCUGCGGCUGCGGCUGCUGCUGCUCCUGCUGCUGCUACUGCUACUGCUGCAUCUUCAAGUGGCGAAGGCAGCAAGCCGCUGGCUGCUGGGCUCAUGCAGCUGACGGCGUAACACGGAAGCCAAACGGAACGGAGCGGCCCUUGCCGCUACCAGGCCGCCACCGCUGCCGGUGGCGGGAAGCAGCCGCACGCGCGCUCCAACGCGGCAAACUCCUCCAGCUCCCGCUCCUGCUCGGCCCACGCCGCCGCCGCCAGCUCGAUCGCCAGGCGCAGGCGCGAGGGCAUCACAGCUGACUGCCACUCAUCACCCUGCUGCACUGCCGCGAUUGGCGGAACGACACAGCUGCCCAUGCUGCUGCCGGCGGCGGUGCAGGCCUCCUUGUCAAUGCUCUGCCGCUCCGCUGCCACCUCCACCGCCUCCACCUGCUGCGGCGUCUCACUGCCUGCCGCCGCCGCCACCCAGACCAGACUGCAGCUGCUGGCGCUGCGGCUGGUGCGGGCGCUGUCCGGCACGGCGCAGCAGCACGAGCUGAGCGGCGAGUCAGGCGCGUCCGGCCGCUCAGUGACAACGGCCACCUCCUGCUCCGCUUCGGCCGCCGCCGGCACGCACUCGCCCUGGGCCUCUGCUUUCCCCAUCGCCGCCAGCUCCGCCGCCAUCCAGGGCGACAGCGAGGCGAGGUAGGCGCCGAAAUCGUCGGCCUCCUCCUCCUCGACGUCAUCCGCCCAGCGGCGGCCGCUGGGGGUGCCGCCGGUGCCGCUGGCAGAUCCCGCCGCCGCCUGCUCCGCCAGACCCUCCUUCAACCAAUCUGCAAGCGACCCGAGGUCGAGCUCCUCCUCCUCCUCCGCCUCCUCGUGCGCCUCGACUUCAUCCGCCCAGCUACCGCUCGCGCCACCGCUGCUGCUAAUGCUGGCGCGAGGAGCAAUGCUGCUGCUGCUACUGCUGCUGCUGCUGCCGUCAGACUCUGACGCUGCCGCGGGCGCGGCCGGUGCGGCUUCCGCCUGCUGCUGCUCGGCCGCCGCGAGCUCCGCCAGUCCCUGCUUCACCCAGGGCGUCUGCUCAAAGAGGUCGCUCAGGUCGAGUCCGUCAGCCUCAUCCUCAUCAUCAUCGCCCCAUCGCGGCGUGGUCGAGCUGCGGUCGACGGUGGAGGUGGAGAUGGGGCUGGCAGCGGCGGCGGGCUUGGUCGGGGCGGCGGGCUUGGUCGGAGCCGCGAGCUUGGGCACCUUGGGCAGGCCGGGCGGCUUCUGCAGGCGCCAGUGGUUGUCGUAGGCAUGGCAAAGCUGGCAGGGGGCGCUCCUGCAGCCAGCAGAUAGGCUGGCAUAGCACCAGCGGAUGCAGGACUUGUGGGGAAAGCAGCAGGCGCUGGGGCCGGGCUCCUGCUGCUCCUGCUGGUGGGCGGCGGCGGAGGGCUCGCUCUCAUCAGAGCCAUGGCCUUGGCUGCGGGGCGUGUGGCGCCAGGCGUCCUGUGCAAACGAGAUCGGGGGAAAGGAUAGAUGGGGGCGGACAAGCCGUGAGUGCACGGGACGAGGACAAGGGUCGGGGCGCAGAGGGCGGGAGCAAGGGCCGGGGGUCAGGGGCUCGAGCCCCGGCAAAAAAAUCAGGCACACACCGGAAAGGCACGCGCUUUCGGUCAAAGCUGUUGACCGACGCAUUUUACGAGACAAUACAUGCAGCAAUAUGCAGCCAGUGUGGCCGCAGCAGCGCAAGAAGGAAGGCCGAGGAAGCCGAGCGCACUACUGGCCCGAAAUCUGCAACGCUAUAUAGCCCGCAUCCGAAGCCUAAUGCUUUGCAUGUGGCAUCAGAUACCCAUUGCAGCUGCUCAAGGCUCAAAAUGGCCGUGCCCGAACAUGAAUGGUGCUCACCUGCAUCGGUCGGCUCGGCUCGAAGUCAAGCCCCGGUGCACUUGCAAUUGACCGUGAUGUGGCCAUAGUAGCUCUUGACCGCACCAAGCACUCUUCGCGCGCAGAACUCGAUUCUGCUGCUAGCGCAAUUCUUUCGCUUGAUGGAGUUUCCUCGCGGUGCCCGGGAGGGAUUCGCGCUAGAAGCUGCUAGUUCGUGAUAGUGGUGGUGCUUGCCGCAGCGUUCAUGCGCAUGCGGUGGAAAUCGAGAGAGGUCGCGAACAGCCCUAGAAAUGCUCUUCUUUGCCGUCGAUAAGCUCAGGUGCUCGUAGCUAAGCAGUGGGCGUAAAAGCUGUUUGCGAGAUGUCUUUGCAUCUGUUG